rnacentral:rRNA from 1 species
UACGGAGGAUGCAAGCGUUAUCCGGAAUCAUUGGGCGUAAAGCGUCCGCAGGUGGCAGUUCAAGUCUGCUGUCAAAGACUGGGGCUUAACCCUAGAAAGGCAGUGGAAACUGAACAGCUAGGGUGCGGUAGGGGUAGAGGGAAUUCCCGGUGUAGCGGUGAAAUGCGUAGAGAUCGGGAAGAACACCAGUGGCGAAAGCGCUCUGCUGGACCUGCACUGACACUGAGGGACGAAAGCUAGGGGAGCGAAUGGG